GGGGGAACCGCAGUGCCGCAGCUCCGCCGGUACCGGAACCCCCGGAGAGGCCCUGCAGUCUCCUGUCCGGCGCCGCUGACAAAUGGCGAAGUAAAUGGGACAGAUUGGGGACUGCUGCCGUAAAUCACAGCGCGGUGCUGCAGGUCACUUCAGAAGGAUGCAGGCAGUCAGACAGCUCCGCUGCGCCCGUCCCUGGGCCGUGCUGGGGGGGGGGGUCUGCGUUGUGCACCCUGCCCCCCCCUGCAGCCACGUGUGCCCACGUCUGAGGAGCGCUGCGCCGAGCCGGGAGUCACUGGUGGGGUUCAUGGGGGGGGAUGAGCUGUGGGGAGGGCGGCAUUUUGGGGUGACGUUGGGGAGGUGACACUACGGAGUGGCAGCGAAGGGGGGUGGCAGCACCUCGGGCCCAUCGGGGGGCAGCCAUGGCCGCCCAGCCCCGCUCGGUGCCGUGGGCAGAGCGCUGCGCACUCAGCGCUGCAAAGGUCACCGCCAAAGGGCAGCAGCUCCAUACGGAGCUCCGCUGACUCAGACGGCGCUGCCGCGGUCCCGCUGCGCCCGGUCCCCGUCCCCACACCGGGUGUCACCGCCCCGCUGCUGCCCUGACCCCGUCCCGCUCCCCGCCCCGCCCUCGCCAUCCCCAGCGGUGACACGGAGGUGCCCCCAAUGGGGUCCCUCUCCUCAACACCGCCGUCCCCUCCGUGACACCGUCAUCCCCCCCCCCUUCCUUCACCCUCAGGGACCCCACGCGGCCCCGCUCCGGCUGCCCCCCCCCGGCGCUGGCAGGCGCGGAGCUGGGGCGGCACUUUCCCAUGCUGGGUGUCUCCCUCAGGCUGACAUUUUUGGGAAAUUUCAACGAAAACACUUCAGAAGGUUCCAACAAAACGGGACGAUGGGAAAAGGCAUAAAGGCAUUGUUUUGUCUCUUUUUUUUUUUUUUUUCUCCUUUUUUUUUUUUGUUUUCUUUUUUCGUUUUUCCAAUCUGUGCCGCCCCUUCGGAUGGGCUCCAGCCGCACGCUGCUUCCAUUCCCCACGGCUGUCACCUCCGUCCCCACGCGACGUCACCCUGUCCUGCGUGGCGUCACCCCACGCUGCCAGUCCUCUCCCCACGCAGCCCUGUGAGCAGCACAGCCACACUGUGGGGGGAGGAGGAGGGCUGAGCCAAACUCUCACUGUCACCCCGUGCCUCAGGUGCUCCCUAUCACAGAUCCCGUCCCCAUCCCAAGAUCAGAGUCAGGGCCGGGGGUCCCGUCCCCCCCCACAUCCCCUCCUCUGGAGGAAGGGUUGGGGACGGCUGGGGUGCGGUACGGCCCAGAUGUCCCCCAACACGAGGGGGGGCGGCUCUCGGCACCCCUUCUGCCUCAUCCCACUCUGCUCUGCCGCAGGGACACACGGAUGGGGACGGUGCCACCGCCGGGAGCUGCUGGUCCGGGGCUCGGUGCCGUCGCUCCAGUCGGGAACACGAGCGGUGCCACCUGCGGCGUCACGGCCGCCCACCGCUGAGUCCUCGUGUCCCCGGGGGCACCGCGGAGUCCCUCGAGGCAUUUUCUCCACGUCUGUCGUUACUGGAGGGGAACUCGGGGUUAUCUCGGAGAAAAAAAGACGGGGAUUAGGGGGAAAAUAUUCCACAAAACAAAACCAAGCCCAUAAAACAGCCCCGAGGGCUCCACCGCACCGCGCGGGGAUGAGGCGCGGGGGGAGCGGCCCCGGGGGCGCGGGAGUGUCCGGGCGGCAGCGCUGAGUCACGGCGGGACGGGACGGGACGGCUCUCCCCCAUCUACCGGACGGGGGGGCACCGGGCACCGGGCACCGCGCACAGCGCAUCCCGCGACGGAGGGGCGGCGGAGGCGGCGGGCACUGCGGGCACAGAGCCGGCACCGGAGCGGCCCCCGAGGACCGGUGCCUUUCUGCCCCCCGGGGGCGGUCCCGGGCCGGGCGGGGCGGGGCGAGGGCGGCAUUUAGGGCUUUGGCAGAGCGG